GCUACACAGAGCGGCCUGGGCGGGCUCCUCAGGCGCAGGCUCCCGCGGCCAAUGGCGCAGCUCCCUCACAGCCCAGUUCUGCGGCCUGCACGCCGCGGCCUGGCCUGGUCCGGCCUGACACCAGCCUCCCUGCUCCCGCGCGCUCCAGCCCCGGGGCCGAUACCUGGCGACGCUGCCGAGCGGGAGCACCGGGCAUUGAAGCUGAAAAGCAAGCUACUUCAGGCUGCCUCAUCAGUUACUUCAAUCUUGACCUCCUAACGUUGCCCUUUUCUAGAAGCAAAUGGCUGGAAUACUGCAGGGAUGGAGGAGGAUCAGAGAUGCUGUCCUUUCUGCUUUGCUCGGAGGGAGUGGAUAUCAAUACCUAAAUUUUCAAAGCUGCGAGCCUUUAAAAUUCUAAUAUUUUCUUUGUUGGUGGACUCAAACCCACAAAUACAACAGCAGAAGAGUAGAACACAGUAUUCGGUGCCAAGCUGCACUGCCUGGUGCUCCUGUGGAUGGCGCCUCAUAUGACAUUUCAAACUAUUCAUAUUUGUUGUGGCGAAGUCACAUACUCGACAUCUGAAGAAAUAACAACAAUUUGAAUGAAGAACUCUUGGGAAUCUAAAGGAGGGACACCCCCCACCCCAAUAAAAAGGC